GCAGCUUGCUGCUUCGCUGACGAGUGGCGGACGGGUGAGUAAUGUCUGGGAAACUGCCUGAUGGAGGGGGAUAACUACUGGAAACGGUAGCUAAUACCGCAUAACGUCGCAAGACCAAAGAGGGGGACCUUCGGGCCUCUUGCCAUCGGAUGUGCCCAGAUGGGAUUAGCUAGUAGGUGGGGUAACGGCUCACCUAGGCGACGAUCCCUAGCUGGUCUGAGAGGAUGACCAGCCACACUGGAACUGAGACACGGUCCAGACUCCUACGGGAGGCAGCAGUGGGGAAUAUUGCACAAUGGGCGCAAGCCUGAUGCAGCCAUGCCGCGUGUAUGAAGAAGGCCUUCGGGUUGUAAAGUACUUUCAGCGGGGAGGAAGGGAGUAAAGUUAAUACCUUUGCUCAUUGACGUUACCCGCAGAAGAAGCACCGGCUAACUCCGUGCCAGCAGCCGCGGUAAUACGGAGGGUGCAAGCGUUAAUCGGAAUUACUGGGCGUAAAGCGCACGCAGGCGGUUUGUUAAGUCAGAUGUGAAAUCCCCGGGCUCAACCUGGGAACUGCAUCUGAUACUGGCAAGCUUGAGUCUCGUAGAGGGGGGUAGAAAUCCAUGGUUA
rnacentral:rRNA from 1 species